GGCUGGGAGACAUAGGGGCACUGAGAGAUAUGGGGACACUGAGAGAUAUGGGGACACUGAGAGACUAGGGGCCACUGGGAGACAUGGGGCCACUGGGAGACCUGGGGUGUCUCAGGGUCCCCAUGUUCCCCAGUGUCCCUAUGUCUCCCAGUGUCCCAAUGUCUCAGCGUCC